AACAAGUCAGCCCUCCUUAUAGGCCUCCCGGAAAAUAAAAGAGCUAUUCACCAAAAACGAUCUCGAGUGCAUUCAUCAUAAAGCGAGGUUAAAGUACUAAGACCGUAAAAACUUCGGGUUCCGCCAAAUCUUCUCAAACAUCUGACUGCCCUCUCCCGCCACCCCCUCUCCAGGUAAGCUGGCUCUUCCUGCCCCGAAGAUAAAAGACUAGGACCCCGGCACACGCGCUUUUGGGGAGUGAAGGGGACCGCGACGCCGGGCCGGCCCCCUCCUCUCCCCGCGAGUGGGUGCCUGCUCCGCCCGGCGGCCGGCGUGCGCAACUCGGGACGCCCGGCGGGGACCCGGCCAGGUGGCCGGCCCCGCGAGGGCGGAGCGGACCGGCGCUGGCGCGGCGGGCCGACCCGGACGCAGGAGCCAGCGGGGGACCUUCGGACUUCUCCAGCCGUGUUCCUGCAAGCGGAGAAUUUUCCACCCGGGCUCCAGAAGAGGCAGACCCCCAACCACCACCCCGGCCCGACCCAUCCCGCCACGGGAUCAUCUCAGCUCCGAGCCGAGCGCCUUCUGUGGGGGCAGCUAGACCGGCUCUUGUUCCUGAGGGCCAGAUCCAGCCGCUUAUUGGAUGUCUCCACCGCGAGGCCGAGCAGAGAACAGAAUUGAUUGUGGCAUCUGCCUUCCACCACCACCAGCCUGCUCCUCCCCGUGUGGUUCCCUGCUUUGAUGAGCAGACGCGGCCCUCUACUGCACUAACUUGAGUGCUUCCUCUGUCUCUCUCCUUCUCCCGACCCUACUACAUCAAGUCACUUCCACCUGAACCUACCCAGGGGGACUCUCGUCCCUUCCUAGCCUGGCCGCUCGCUUCCUUCCAGUCACUCUGCUGUCCACUUUCAACCUUCACACUUGUGGCCCGGAUCCUCUUUUUAAAAAAACACAGGACACUGCAGGCUUGAAGGAGAGGGGCAAGGGGAAGAAAUGGGGAGAAAGGAGGAAGAAUGUCCAACUCACCUCGGUGAGUGCUGAAGACACAAAUUAUAUACUUUCAGAAGAAAUC
ensembl:lncRNA